rnacentral:rRNA from 1 species
AUUGAACGCUGGCGGCAUGCCUUACACAUGCAAGUCGAACGGCAGCACGGGGCAACCUGGUGGCGAGUGGCGAACGGGUGAGUAAUGCAUCGGAACGUACCUUUCAGUGGGGGAUAACGUAGCGAAAGUUACGCUAAUACCGCAUAUUCUGUGAGCAGGAAAGCAGGGGAUCGCAAGACCUUGCGCUGAUUGAGCGGCCGAUGUCAGAUUAGCUAGUUGGUGAGGUAAAGGCUCACCAAGGCGACGAUCUGUAGCGGGUCUGAGAGGAUGAUCCGCCAAACUGGAACUGAGACACGGUCCAGACUACUACGGGGGGGAGCAGUGGGGAAUUUUGCACAAUGGGGGCAACCCUGAUCCAGCCAUGCCGCGUGAGUGAAGAAGGCCUUCGGGUUGUAAAGCUCUUUCGGCCGGGAAGAAAUCGCACGGGCUAAUACCCUGUGUGGAUGACGGUACCGGAAUAAGAAGCACCGGCUAACUACGUGCCAGCAGCCGCCGUAACAC